AAGAGUUAACAUGAUCCAGGAGAGCUAAAUAUAUUUCCGAAAUUUUGCCUUUUAGCAUAGUAGCCUGUUGUAUAAUUAUAUCUACAUGUGAAAUUUCUGUUGACAGUUGACUCCCUUUCAAAAAAAUCAUUUAUUAUUUGUUAAGCUGUAAAUAUUAAAAAAAGAUACUAGAUACUUAAAGCCUUUCUGUGCCCAAUCAAACAGAGAGAUAGUCUGAUAGUCUGUAGUUCCCUGGGUAUUGGUGAACCCACAAAUUGAUUCAUUAUCCAGAAAUUUCCCCAAUCUUUAAAAUAAUAUCUAAUACAGCAGGUACAGAAAACGCAUUCUGAAAGAUAAAGUCAUCUGCGUAUAGUGAGAUUUUAUUUUGUAUACUUCCAAUGUGAACUCAUUAGACAGCCUGACUGGUACAUAUGUCCCCUGCCAGAGGCUCUAUGGUUAAAUCAAAUAAAAGAGGGCAUCCCUGUCGACAGUCUCUGGACAAUUUAAACCUUUCUGAAAGGAUACCAUUCGUACAUAUAUGUGCGCUGGGGUUUCUAUAUAAGGAAGGACCUAAUCCAAUUUAUAAAUGUGCCACCCAAAUUAUCCAUCCAUCCAUUUUCCAAACCGCUUAUCCUACUAGGUCACAGGGGGGUCCUGAUGGGCACAAGGCAGGGAACGUAUUAUUCUCCGGUGUAUGCAAACUUUUGGACACAACUGUAUAUGCAUUGUAAGUCAGUGAAGCAUCAAAAUGAGUUUGAUCACAUUUUAAGGUAAAAGAACUACAUUGUUGCUUUAGUACUGACUUCAGACGUGCAAGCAAAACAUGAUGUACCACAUAAAAGAAGACUUUUAAUGUCCUUAAUUAUUCUACAACUUUUAAAACUCAUUUGCAAAACUCAUUUGCUCUCAAAAAUAGCAAAUGUUUAACAAGUGAGAAUCAGUUCAAAUUAACAAAAAGGGAAGUUGUAAUACAAACAUGAAUGCGAAAUGAUGCAAUAGACUGAUCAAAUUGGCCUUACUGAUCAAGUGACUUUACAGCUAAAUAGUAAACAGUAUUGAACAUUACAAACCCUGACCAACCACCUUACUUUAUUUACCCUGCCAUAUUCACUAGGCUACUUAAAACAACCAAAUGUGCUCUUUCUGUUCUCCUUACAAGAAACAAACUGUUGAGUGGUCAUUUUUCUGUCCAAUUUGUCCAGCUUGUGCUUUCGAAUGUGACACACAGUGACACUAUUGAGGCGUGUUGGUGUCAUAGUCCUUAGCAACCACGUUUACAGCCUCCAGAUGCGGCUGUUGAAGCCUCUUUCAGCUUCAGCUGAUGACACGGGAAUGACAAGAAGCAGUGUAAGAAGCGUCUCAAUUUGAUCAGAGAGGCCACGGACCUCUGGACCCAUCCCCUAAAGCAGGGGUCGGGAACCUUUUUGGCUGAGAGAGCCAUGAACGCCAUAUAUUUAAAAAUGUAAUUCCGUGAGAGCCAUACAAUAUGUUUAAAACUAAAUACAAGUAAAAGACCAACAUUUUUAAUGUACAAUAAGUCUCUGAAUUCUUUUUAAUAACGCUGUUAUGCUGUUGCUAACCAAUGAUGAAUAAAGUACUUCUUACCAUUAAUGCGACUUAUGGUGCUGAAUGGUUCUGCUGGUGGCUUUGUAGUCUGGGUGAUACGUCGUGAGGUUAAGCUUCAUGCAGGCAUUGAGACUUCCAUCCGUUAAACGUGAUCGUAGGUUGGUCUUAAUGUUCUGUGAUUGGCUCCAGCCACCUGCAACCAUGAACAUGAGCGGUAGGAAAUGAAUGGGUUGAAAUACAUGAGCAUGUUUUAUAUUUUUAACAUUAUUAUUUUUUUUAUUAAAGAUUUGUCUGUGAGCCAGAUGCAGCCAUCAAAAGAGCCACAUCUGGCUCGCGAGCCAUAGGUUCCCGACCCCUGCCCUAAAGAAUGACUGCAUCUUCACUGCUAGAUUGGAAAUUGUACUUUGUCAUGAACAUUGCUAAUUGUACUUUCAGGCAGUCAGAGUUAACUUAUGCGUGCUGUUGCACAACAUCAUUUACCAGUCAAGAGGACUUGUUCAAGAUUUCUGAUCAUAUGCAUUCCACCCUUUAGAAAUUGUUCCCUAAACUGCAUAUCUACAACAUCCAGAACAUUAAAGAAUUCAGUACUGUAGUAAUCAGUAGGGGGUUGCAUGCAUAUGUGCAGGAGCACAGCCUGUGAAACGCUGAGGUGGCUUAAAGGCACAUGGAGAGGUAACAGGAGUGAGAUGAAGUGUUUCACACAUCUUGGUUGCUUUGUUGUAAACAGUUUUAAAACUCUCUGGAUUUCUUUUUUUUGGCAAAGGCUUCUUUAACACUAGCAACAGCAGAAAGCACACCAUCCACUGUCUGUGUUCUGAUUCAUUGACCCACUCCAUUGCUAAUAAAUAAUGAGGCAGUACAGGCCUGCUGUGUAGGAAGGUUAACCCUCUAUGGCAUGGUGUAACCCUCAGGCAACAAACCACUAUUUUGGCCCACACACUGCCCCUUUAAAAUUUUACCAAAAAAACAUCACAGUAAAAGUCUGAUGACAAGUCUGUAACCAAUAAAAUUUGAGGUGGGCGUGGGUUUGACCUUUCGUCUGGGGGUGGAACAGUCCUUUUUGCAACCAUAGCCGGCUUGGACACACUGCUAGCAAAAGACGGUCUGUCUGAUGACAAUGAGUCUGUGAAUGAAGAGGAAAAUGAAGAUGAUGUACCAAAGGAAGAUGUUUCACGAUUACCCCGCUGGAGAACACACCACAGUACCAUCAUCACUGAUUACCCAGAAUGGCAGGCCAGCCUUCCAAAAUCAGACAAUAUCAUGUCCCCCUAUGAAUACUUCAAGAUGUUUUUUUCUGAAGACAUAUUGGAAGUAGUUGUAGAGCAGUCAAAUUUAUAUGCCAUUCAGUGUGAUACCAACAAGCCCCUAAACCUCACAACUAAAGAACUGGAGCAGUUCAUGGGUACAGCGGUGUACAUGUCAUUGUUUGGAUUACCAGGUACCCGCAUGUUUUGGAACAAAGCCACUCGAGUGUCCCAGGUAGCUGACACCAUAACACUAAACAGAUGGGAGUUUAUAAAAAAAAUCCCUGCACUUCAACAACAAUGAAUUGAGACAACGAGAAAAUCUUGAUCCACUCCACAAAAUCCUACCACUGGUCAUUCACCUUACCUCGAGGCUGCAGACAAUCCCAAUGUCUGAGAAGCUGGCUGUAGAUGAGCAGAUGGUCCCCUUCAAGGGAAGAAAUAGACUCAAGCAAUACUUGCCAUCAAAAACAAAGAAAUGGGGCUACAAGAUACUCAUCUUAGCUGGCUCUGAUGGUGUCCCACACAAUUUUGAGAUUUAUACAGGGAGAGCUGUGCAACCCCCUGAGCUGCCAGAUGUAGGAGCAAGUGGCUAAUCUCCAACACACAGAUUGAUAAACCAUCCACUGAUGAUUGUUGAAAUAAAACUUGUUGAAAUUGUUGUUGUCGUUGAAAUAAAACUUUUUAAAUUAA